rnacentral:tRNA from 1 species
AAAUCUAGUUUAAAUAAAACAAUAAUUUGUGGAAUUAUAAAUUCACAA